AGGAAUUUUGCUGCUCAAUGAGGUUUGGACAGUGUUUUUGUUUAUCUCGUGACAAAGGGAGAGAAAAAUUUUGCACAUGUGUGUGUGUUCCUAUUCUGUGUGCUUCUCCUCAAUUUAAAGCAGGCAGAAUUGAUUUCUCUUGUCAUAAUUGGGCAAACAAUGCCUGGAUACUCAGGGUGGUGAAAAGUGGUAUUAUUGAGUUUUAAACCAAAC